GUGAGGCAUGCUGGAGGUAUCAGAAGUGCGAAUGCUGACAUAAGUAACGAUAAAGCGGGUGAAAAGCCCGCUCGCCGGAAGACCAAGGGUUCCUGUCCAACGUUAAUCGGGGCAGGGUGAGUCGACCCCUAAGGCGAGGCCGAAAGGCGUAGUCGAUGGGAAACAGGUUAAUAUUCCUGUACUUGGUGUUACUGCGAAGGGGGGACGGAGAAGGCUAUGUCGGCCGGGCGACGGUUGUCCCGGUUUAAGCGUGCAGGUGGAACGACCAGGUAAAUCCGGUUGUUCAUUAACACUGAGGCGUGAUGACGAGGCACUAAGGUGCUGAAGUGACAAAUGCCCUGCUUCCAGGAAAAGCCUCUAAGCAUCAGGUAACACGAAAUCGUACCCCAAACCGACACAGGUGGUCAGGUAGAGAAUACCAAGGCGCUUGAGAGAACUCGGGUGAAGGAACUAGGCAAAAUGGUGCCGUAACUUCGGGAGAAGGCACGCUGGCGCGUAGGUGAAGUGACUUGCUCACGGAGCUGAAACCAGUCGAAGAUACCAGCUGGCUGCAACUGUUUAUUAAAAACACAGCACUGUGCAAACACGAAAGUGGACGUAUACGGUGUGACGCCUGCCCGGUGCCGGAAGGUUAAUUGAUGGGGUUAUCCUCGCGGAGAAGCUCUUGAUCGAAGCCCCGGUAAACGGCGGCCGUAACUAUAACGGUCCUAAGGUAGCGAAAUUCCUUGUCGGGUAAGUUCCGACCUGCACGAAUGGCGUAAUGAUGGCCAGGCUGUCUCCACCCGAGACUCAGUGAAAUUGAACUCGCUGUGAAGAUGCAGUGUACCCGCGGCAAGACGGAAAGACCCCGUGAACCUUUACUAUAGCUUGACACUGAACACUGGUCCUUGAUGUGCAGGAUAGGUGGGAGGCUUUG
rnacentral:rRNA from 1 species